rnacentral:rRNA from 1 species
AUUGGAGGGCAAGUCUGGUGCCAGCAGCCGCGGUAAUUCCAGCUCCAAUAGCGUAUAUUAAAAUUGUUGCAGUUAAAAAGCUCGUAGUUGAAUUUCUGCUGCAUUUCAUCUUCUUUUUGAUGAGUUGGUGUAUUGUGGCUUAUUUCGGAUGAUACUUGUAUUAUCCGGAUGAUUACUUUGAGAAAAUUAGAGUGCUCAAAGCAGGCUUUUGCCUUGAAUAGUUUAGCAUGGAAUAAUAAAGUAGGACUUUGGUUCUAUUUUGUUGGUUUUAGGUACCAAAGUAAUGGUUAAUAGGAACAGUUGGGGGCAUUCGUAUUUAACUGUCAGAGGUGAAAUUCUUAGAUUUGUUAAAGACGAACUACUGCGAAAGCAUUUGCCAAGGAUGUUUUCAUUAAUCAAGAACGAAAGU